GUUUACACUUUCAUUAUCGUCAGAGGAGUAAAAACCUUCUGUAUCAAAGCUCUCUGAUAAAGCAUCUUCAUCAUCUUGAUCCUCUUCUAAAGGACAUCUUCUGUAGAUUGAAGAAUACAUUUGUCUGCAACUAAACAGAUUAUUUCUCGAAAUCGUAAAAAAACUUGGGAAACGUUUUACUUUCAAUCAUCAGCCUGACUUCUGCUAGAUCUCAAACACCGAUUCCCGGCGAUUUUUUAUUCGUCGUUGCGUAAUGGAAAUGUGUACGGUUAGAAAUGGGUCAUUGUUAUUUUUACAAAUGGACAAUGUUGAAAAGUAAUGUUGGAUUUUCAACAAUCAACAAUAAAGACAAGAACAUCCUAAUAACAACUAUGAAAUUUUACGAGCAGACUGAAGAGAAAUCUUGUUGACAAAAAUUGUUCCAGGUUUUGUUUUAUGACUGCUGCACAUUGGUAAAUUUUCCUGAAAAGCUAUUUUGGCAUAUGACAACUGGCAAAUAAUUUGCAUUUUUUUCCUUUUACUGCUAUUAACUUAAACAUAGAUGACUUUAAAUAAAUGAACAAUAUGCACUUAACAAUAGUACAUGAGUUGGUGCAAUUGUGUUUUCUUAUUUGCAGGUAAGCAUUAAUAGUUGAUCUGGGAAUUAAAAUCAAAGGAAUUAGAUUUGAAAUUUUUUAAAUGUUUCGCUUCUUGAUCCACCAACAUGUCCACAUUUUCAUUCCUUCUGUAAAAACAAAAAAUUAAUAAAUGAAAAGAAUUGAAAAUAAAAAAAAAAUUACUUGUUCCAACUGACAGCAGUAUUAGGAGGCUCUGGAGCAC